AUACAGAGGGUGCGAGCGUUAAUCGGAAUUACUGGGCGUAAAGCGUGCGUAGGCGGCUACUUAAGUCAGAUGUGAAAUCCCCGGGCUCAACCUGGGAACUGCAUCUGAUACUGGGUAGCUAGAGUUUUGGAGAGGGAAGUAGAAUUUCAGGUGUAGCGGUGAAAUGCAUAGAGAUCUGAAGGAAUACCAGUGGCGAAGGCGACUUCCUGGCCAAAAACUGACGCUGAGGUGCGAAAGCGUGGGUAGCAAACGGGAUUAGAAACCCUAGUAGUCC
rnacentral:rRNA from 1 species